UUCAAUCUUAUAUGUACUUACCUAUGAAGAAUCACCAUUGAAUGGAAUGGUACUUACUUCUGAGCAGACUUGUAGAACUGUGCUGUUAACUGCUGUGGAAUAACAAUGACUUGGAACAGAGAGGCUGUGGACAUUCUCCAACAGUCACAAAGCUGUGAUGGAACCCGAUGCAAACAUAGUGGGAACCAUACCUGGACCAGGGCCAAAUAAAGAAUUCAGAUCUGGAACCGGACUAUAAGGUGGGUCUUUUCCUGUCUACCUCUCCUCUGAGAAGCACAAGUUGCUAAAGAUUAUUUCAGCAUAAGGAAGAGUUCCCCCUGGCAUAAUUGUCUUGUAAGCUGUUUUUAAUUAAUUAAUUGCCUUGAUUUCUCUAGCGUUUGCUAUACAUCCUUUCUUUUCUUUCCAUGAUAGAAGGAUUUAAUUCCAUGCUCCCAGCGACAUCACAGCUUAUUAUAAGCACCUUCAUUAUAGCAAUGCAUCUUAAUUAUAUUUGAAAUGCUUUGAACUUGAGAAUAUUGCUUUUAAUGAGUUAGCUACAUGCAUGUGACUGCCUUCUCAGAGGUGUUUAUGUGAGGUCUCGUUGGACAUUGUUGUUGGGUUAGAAAUACACUAAGCUAGUAUACCAGUUUACUGGAUGGGAAUGGAUAUGCAUUUCCUUCUCCUCUCCACAAUCAAAGUAAUGUACAAGGCCUACAGAAAAGAUGAGCAGAAGGAGCUUUUUCAGUGUUCUUUUUGCUUUCAUUUAAAUGGUUGUAAAAAGCGUGAACUCUUGAACAAAUCUAUUUAAUUUUUGUCCUACGCCUAGUCCUAUUCGCACUACAGAAUUGUAGUGCUGUUAUUGUACUUUAAGUGCUUUGGUUCACUCUUACUGAACCUUGGGGAUUUAAGGAGAGCCUUUAGAAUUCUCAGUCAGAGAACUCCUCUGGUAUCUCAAUAAACUGUAAACUCCAAGAUUCCAUAGAACUGAACCAUGGCUGUUAAAGCAGAAUAUUAGCAUUAUGACUGUGUAGUAGGAAUGGCCCUCCAGAGUAGGGAUGUGACAAAGUCUCCUCACUGUUCAUUAAACAUAGAAGAUAUUGGUUUCUUGAUGCCCCAAUAAAGUCUAAUGAGCUGUGAAACUUGGCAGCUUCUUGACCAAGGUUUGAGCAUUUUAAUUUUGCAUCAUUUGCAAAUGAAGUGAAGGGACAAGACAUUUGUUAAAGGGCCAACACAGCUACCCCUACAUGUUUUCUGUAUUGUGAGAUACCACAUUGUCGCUGCAACAGGGGAACCAUAAAGAGUGGCCUGUGGAUUGGGACCUCCAACCAAGCUAAAACUUUUUUCUUCUUAAAUUUGUACUGAACUUGCAUGUUUUACACCACAAAAAUGUUCCUGAUGCAAAACCAUGGGGGCUUCUUGAGGAAUCCAUUGUUAUCUGCCUCCAAAGAGUGACCUCACUGGAAUGGAGACAUUUUGGAUU